rnacentral:rRNA from 1 species
GACGAACGCUGGCGGCGUGCUUAACACAUGCAAGUCGAACGAAGUGGCGAAAGGGUGAGUAACGCGUAAUCAACCCGCCCUUCAGAGGGGGACAACAGUUGGAAACGACUGCUAAUACCGCAUACUGAAGGAGGGGAUGGCGUUGGCUUAGCUAGUUGGGGGGGUAACGGCCAACCAAGGCGAUGAUCAGUAGCCUGGUGGAGAGGGGGAACGGCCUCAUGGGGACGGAGACACGGCACAGACGCCUACGGGAGGCAGAAGUUGGGAAUCUUCCGCAAUGGAAGAAAGUCUGACGAAGCAACGCCGCGUGAGGGAGGACGGCCUUCGGGUUGGAAAGCUCUGUUAAUCGGGACGCGGUACCGGAAUAGAAAGCCACGGCUAACUACGUGCCAGCCGCCGCGGUAAUUC